UACUAUUCUAAAAUUCAGGAAUUUAGGUCAGAAUAUUCCUUUUAAUGCUAUUUCUUGCACACUUAAUAAAAGGGAACAACACUUACUCUCACGCACACACUUUAUAAAAGUUCAGAUUCUAGAAGUUAUUGAAAACUCCAAAAACCUCUGAUUUUCUGAUUAAAAAUAUGGUGUAGAGUGGAGAUUUCCUGAUUGUUUUAGCUGGUUUCUCUAGUUUCAAACUAUCUUUAUUUGGGUCUGGGUUUACUGCUGAAGUUUGGGUUUUCAUCUCUCUUUUGGUUCUUCCUGACCUUUAUUUGGUCAUUUCUCAAUCAUAUUUUUUCAGGUUUAAGGUAUGUACAAUGUUCAUUUUGAAUUGAAUCAAUUUUAUAUUCAAAAAUCUGUAUUUGAAACUUAUUUGGUUAGCUGAUCUUUGAUUUUUAGUCGGCGAAUCAUGAAUGUUUGAAAUUGGAGUUAAUUGAACAAUGUGUUAGUUUAAUUGAUUGUUGAGUUUAAAUUAUGAAAUCUGUGAUGUUAUGUUGUACAUAUAUUAGAACUCAACAUGUUUUAAUUGCUGAAUCAGAAUAUAUAUACUUAUGAAAUUUAUGUUCAAAGUUUCUCUUUUACAGCAGCACAAAAAGAAAAAAGAAGAGAAUCUGACCCCUUAAAUGGUAAGAUUCAUCUCUGACUAGUGCAUAAUAAUCUAGAUUCUUGAAUAUAUGCCUACGUUAUCUUCUUUCCCCUUCUUUUCUUCUUUACUAAAGUGAAUCUGUGUUUGUCUAUGGGGUUGACCUUCAACAUGGUUAGACUUGUGGACAAUAUUAUUUUCCUUUACUCAUUUUGUACUAGAAUUGACUAGGUAACAUUGUAGGUCUCUACAUUCAAAGAAGUCUUAUGAAUCUAACCUUUCGACAUGGUCAAACUCAUGAGAAAUCUUGGCUCAUUCAUAGCUGAAGCAGUUGCACUUUUAGAAAUUUUCCCUUUUUAUUUUAUUGUAAUUUAGUUUAAGGCACUAAUGUAAUUUAUAUUUUGUACCUUGUUUAAUUCCGGAAUUUGUAAUAAAUGGCACUGGACUUUACAAAUUUAUAUAUUGGUUAAUCCAGCCUCGGUAGUUUAUUUAACUAUGUUUCAAAUGCCUAUUAGCAUGCUGUGUUAAAAAUAAAAAAAGGGGAACGUUUGGCUACUAAGCUUUAGUUCAGCUGUUUGAUUCCAGCAAUUUCAAAGGCUUGUUCGCUUUGUUCAAGAAAAUUGGUUUAAAAAGGUUUUAAACUCAAAUCUGAUUUUUGUUCUUAUUAAAUACAUGCUUAAUGAGUUAAGACUUUCCUUGUUAGAUAUCUUUUGUUUAGACUAUAUAGAUGUUAAAAGCUGUGUUAAUUCCGGUAUGCUUCUAAAAUUCAAAAUUUGUGAAGUGCAUGGUUCUGCUGAUGGCCCAAAUUAGAACCCUUAGUUAAAAUCUGGACUUUUGGGAACUCAAUUUCUCUUCGGUCUUGCUACUGGCAUUUUCAGGUCCAAUACGAGCCAGUUUUUCGCCCAAGCCAAAUUUUAGAAACAAGCUAAAGUCUGUAUGAGGCUUCCUCGUUUCACUUGGCCCAAAGUUCUGGCCUAGAUUCAGCUUUUUGCAAAUGGAUUUUUACCUAUACAUUCUAUAUAGCAAACCUUACUAUCAUUAUUGUGCCUUGUUUGGAUUUUACCCUCAUAUUCCAUGUUUUUGUUACCAAAAAUGUACCAAACGAAAUCAAUCUGAUUUUGUN
rnacentral:lncRNA from 1 species